rnacentral:tRNA from 3 species
UAAGAAGUGGCUGAGAUUAAAGCAUUAGACUGUAGAUCUAACCACAGGGCAUUCACCCUCUUCUUAA